UACGGAGGGGGCUAGCGUCGUUCGGAAUUACUGGGCGUAAAGCGCACGUAGGCGGCUUUGUAAGUUAGAGGUGAAAGCCCGGGGCUCAACUCCGGAAUUGCCUUUAAGACUGCAUCGCUAGAAUUGUGGAGAGGUAAGUGGAAUUCCGAGUGUAGAGGUGAAAUUCGUAGAUAUUCGGAAGAACACCAGUGGCGAAGGCGACUUACUGGACACAUAUUGACGCUGAGGUGCGAAAGCGUGGGGAGCAAACAGG
rnacentral:rRNA from 1 species